ensembl:lncRNA LINC02436 long intergenic non-protein coding RNA 2436
AGAGCACCCAGCAUAACUGUGGGAGAAUAGUAAGCAUUGGACACAAAAUGGUUUAGGCAAAUAAUGAUGAACAAAAAUGGUCAGUCUGUGUUCCUGCUGACCCAGCACAGUGGGGACGCUGUGUAGGACAUGACCUUUGGGGGAAAGGACACAAGAACUCAGCGUGGGGGAUCCAGAAAAGAAGUCGCACGUAUUGAAGCCAGUAACGCCAAGCCAGUGAAUUCUCCUUGACGAGAAAGACCCACUUACUCUGCAGAAGAGAUAUAUGACAGCUGACAAUCCCUGGAGGAGAAUCUUUCUACUAAAUUGGUAAGGGAUGCUAAGCAAAUGAUGUGGACUCAGGAAACAACGCAUUUCAUGAUAUACGGUUGCCUCUCAAGGUGAAUUCGAGACCCCUCUUGAAUUACAAAGAGUUGAAAACAUUCAAGUACGGAAUAAACUAUUACUGCGAAUACGCUCAUAUGACACAAGAACAAUCUCUGAGCUUCUUUGAGGAUGUCCAGAUGACUGCUGACUGCACUAAUUGCAUCAAUCGUGUAUCCAUACAGUAACUCCAGGUUGAAGAACUUCUACUUAUAGGCAUCUAUUCAACGAAGACGAAUCCUGGAAUGGGGAUGGAAAUGAUGGCUCAUGUCUUAGCAAACUACCAAACUGAUCCGAGAGGACAGGGAAGUCAGUGUGGGCGGCUCUAAGGAGCCUCCCUCUCUACAGCUGCGGCUCAGAGGAUUACGGCGCUUCAUCCACAAGGCAACAUUGCACAAGUAGCUUUUGAACAAAAGUCAUGGAUACUAUUAAUGAUAUGUUCCCACACACAUUUAGUGUCGUCUCAAAAUUCACGCUGUCAACUGUCUCUAGGAAUCAUUUCCAUCUGAGAACAGACCACACAAAGACACAGUGAAACUCAGUUUCUGCAGAAUUUGAUUUCAUUUGAGUUACUGGGGAACAAAGCAAUUAGACAAUGAAUAAUAGCUCAAGACAGGCUGAAGCUGAAGAUUUCUGCAAAAGAAUGAAGAGGAAACGUUUUGAUCCUGAGCAGAUGUUCUCCCUAGAUUGCUUCACCUGAGGUUGAUUGACUUUUGGAAACGAGAUUUGUUCCCAGUGCUUUGUGAGUCUCUUGUUGGAAGGACUGUCUUUAAAUUAAAGCAAUUAGAGUUACUUUAUAAGAUUUACCCAAAUAUAAGAGCUGAAGAGAAUAAUUCAAAUUGAUCAGAAGAAAAUACUCAAUUACUGACAAAUGUCAAUUACAUCAAUAGCCUAGGCUGCUCUUGAACUCCUGGGCUCAAACGAUCCUCCCCUGUCGGCCUCCCAAAGUGCUGGGAUUACAAGCUUGAACCACCAUGCCCAGCCUCAGAAAUUUUUUAAAUGACAGCUCAUACAGUUUUCUUUUAUAAAGGAGGAGAAAAUGUGUAAUUGUAAGCAGCUGAACUAAAAUAUCUCUGUGACAUUUUGCUGGUGACUCCAGCCCUGUGAGAUCUGAGUGGCUCAGGAAUCAAAUUCUCCCACAAACCUGAGGAAGCCUUUUAUUCUUAAUGCCAACAGGAUGCCCCAUGCCCAGAAUGUCAAAUCUGAACACCAAUGGAAUGCAUUUUAUAAACAAAUUGAAAAAGGACAAUCUUUAACAGAAUUGUUGUUCUCUAGGCAGAUUAGUUGUGCUUCAAAUACAAAAUGAAAUAUUAGAGAACAAAAUUAUUUUUAAACAGCUAAUACUAGUAGAAAAUAAAAGGCUGAAAAGUGCUAUAAUGUGUAAAAGGA